rnacentral:snRNA from 1 species
AUCGCUUCUCGGCCUUUUGGCUAAGAUCAACGCGUAGUAUCUGUUCUUAUCAGCUUAAUAUCUGAUACGCUCUCUAGUAGAGAGCCAGAAUAUUAAACUGAUUUUUGAAACUAGGUGGAGUCUUGGAGCUCGCUCCGUCUCCGCCAUGGGUUGACCUGGCAUUGCAGUGCUGUUGGGAUUAGCCCUCGUUUU